rnacentral:rRNA from 1 species
GAUGAACGCUGGCGGCGUGCCUAAUACAUGCAAGUCGAGCGAACGGACGAGAAGCUUGCUUCUCUGAUGUUAGCGGCGGACGGGUGAGUAACACGUGGAUAACCUACUUAUAAGACUGGGAAAACUACGGGAAACCGGAGAUAAUACCGGAUGAUAUUUUGAAGCGCAUGGUUCAAAAGUGAAAGACGGUCUUGCUGGAACUAAUAGAUGGAUAUGCGCUGCAUUGGCUAGUUGGUAAGGUAACGGCCUAUCAAGGCAAGGAGGCAUAGCCGAACUGAGAGGCGGAUCGCCCGCCUUGGAAGUGAGACGGCGUCCAGACUCCUACGGGAGGCAGCAGUCGGGAAUCUUCCGCAGUGGUCGAGAACCUGACGGAGCAGCCGCGCGUGUGUGGUGACAGCCCUCGGAUCGUAAAGCUCUGUUUUUGGGGAAAAACAGAUGUGUAAGGUACUGUGGACAUCGUGACGGUACCUAGUCAGGAAGCCACGGCUAACUACGUG